GUGAAGCAUUAAAUGAUAAUACAGGUUCUAUUAAGUUUGUAAUCAUGACCAGGCUUUCCUUAUACAGUAAAAAGUAAAAGGUCAUUGCCGAUCAAGGGAUGGCACAAUCCAGCCACCACUGUAAGUUUAAACACCACUUCCUUCUAUAAGCCCCGCCCUAUAAAAUUAGAUCAAUGGCAAUCACACAGUGCAGGCAUGUUCAAGGUAACCAGAUCAAAUGUUAAACUGGAUAAGCAAUGAAAAGCAACUUAGUAUUCUCACCUGGAAGUGUCAUCUGUGGUGUUGCUUUAUACACAUGGAGUUAUCACCAUCUUUAGUUUUAUCUUUUCAGAUCUUCAUCUUUGGUUACCUUUAAUGUUGAACAUGCAUCUCUAUUUCAAGUGCUCAGUACACUCUCAUUUUAAUAAACCGAAUGAUUGCUGUUGCUGUAUACUAAAACAAAAAUUAACUUAAGCAUAUACUAUUUGU
rnacentral:lncRNA from 1 species